rnacentral:lncRNA from 1 species
AACAAACCCUAUUUUGUUCCUAGCGGACAGAGAAACGAUUAUGUUUCUCCUCCAUACCCAAAACCAGUCCCUGAAAAGGGAUUAGCAGCCAAGGACACUCCGGGAACAUCGGAGGACAUAAGAUAUAAAGGACUCGAAGGUUCCGGCACAAAAUUAAUGGGAGCAGAACCAGAAGUAUCACUAAUAUUCACCAUUUUAAUGACUCAGAAUCCUUACCGAGCCCUAAACUUGACGAACCGUGAACACACAAAUGACGAAUCCAAAAAAUAACAGUCCAAACAGUCCGUUAACAUGCAAUCGACCUUAUCGAUGAUGUCGACGGAGUAGUGACCUAAAAAAAACGACAAACACGGCUAAAACAGAUCAACAAAAAAAACCCCUAGAUUUUUGAGAUACCGGAAAACCUGGAUGAAAAACGACGAGGUUAACAUCGGAGAGAAGCUGAUGAUGAGGAGAGUCGAAAAACCCGCUCUGAUACCAUGUUAAAACUCGCUAAUCUCCAUUACAGUUGCUGUAAUGUGAAGAAAUUUAGAGAGAAGAUGGAGCGAAAGAAGGAGAGAGAGAACUGUAUC